AACAACUUCCUGUGUCAACGUCGCUUCCGGGUGAAAGUUACAACCAGACGGGCUUUUUUGCAGUGCUGUCCAUAUUUUGUCAUUUGUCAUUUGUUUGUCGACGCAAACCAAGUCAACCAUGGUGGACUACGGUUCUGGACCAGUGAAGGAGAGCAUAGACAACACGGUGUUUAUAAUCCCAGGAAUAAUUGUUAUCUGUUUAGUCUCUUUCUUUGCCUACAAGCUGUUCAAAAGUUUAAGGGAGAAAGAAAAAGCAAAAGAAGAAAAAAAGAAAAUGAAGCAACAAAGAAAAGAAAAAGAACAGCAGAAGAGGCAACAAAAGAAGAAAUUAUGAUUUACUCAAAUUAGGACAUUUUUAUUAUCAGCAGCUAAAUUAUUUUUUUGUGAUGUGACAUUUUCUUUCUGGAUGGAAGGGAAGUAUAAGUUUGGAUAUAUAAGAGGAAUACAAGGAAAUCAUG